GACGAACGCUGGCGGCGUGCUUAACACAUGCGAGUCGAACGGAAAGGCCCUGCUUUUGUGGGGUGCUCGAGUGGCGAACGGGUGAGUAACACGUGAGUAACCUGCCCUUGACUUUGGGAUAACUUCAGGAAACUGGGGCUAAUACCGGAUAGGAGCUCCUGCUGCAUGGUGGGGGUUGGAAAGUUUCGGCGGUUGGGGAUGGACUCGCGGCUUAUCAGCUUGUUGGUGGGGUAGUGGCUUACCAAGGCUUUGACGGGUAGCCGGCCUGAGAGGGUGACCGGCCCCAUUGGGACUGAGAUACGGCCCAGACUCCUACGGGAGGCAGCAGUGGGGAAUAUUGCACAAUGGGCGGAAGCCUGAUGCAGCAACGCCGCGUGCGGGAUGACGGCCUUCGGGUUGUAAACCGCUUUCGCCUGUGACGAAGCGUGAGUGACGGUAAUGGGUAAAGAAGCACCGGCUAACUACGUG
rnacentral:rRNA from 1 species